rnacentral:rRNA from 1 species
UACGUAGGGUGCAAGCGUUAUUCGGAAUUACUGGGCGUAAAGCGUGCGCAGGCGGCUUUGCAAGACAGAUGUGAAAUCCCCGGGCUUAACCUGGGAACUGCAUUUGUGACUGCAUGGCUGGAGUGCGGCAGAGGGGGAUGGAAUUCCGCGUGUAGCAGUGAAAUGCGUAGAUAUGCGGAGGAACACCGAUGGCGAAGGCAAUCCCCUGGGCCUGCACUGACGCUCAGGCACGAAAGCGUGGGGAGCAAACAGG